rnacentral:rRNA from 1 species
AUUGAACGCUGGCGGCAGGCUUAACACAUGCAAGUCGAGCGGGGGAAGGUAGCCUGCUACCGGACCUAGCGGCGGACGGGUGAGUAAUGCUUAGGAAUCUGCCUAUUAGUGGGGGACAACAUCUCGAAAGGGAUGCUAAUACCGCAUACGUCCUACGGGAGAAAGCAGGGGAUCUUCGGACCUUGCGCUAAUAGAUGAGCCUAAGUCGGAUUAGCUAGUUGGUGGGGUAAAGGCCUACCAAGGCGACGAUCUGUAGCGGGUCUGAGAGGAUGUUCCGCCACACUGGGACUGAGACACGGCCCAGACUCCUACGGGAGGCAGCAGUGGGGAAUAUUGGACAAUGGGGGGAACCCUGAUCCAGCCAUGCCGCGUGUGUGAAGAAGGCCUUAUGGUUGUAAAGCACUUUAAGCGAGGAGGAGGCUACUUUAGUUAAUACCUAGAGAUAGUGGACGUUACUCGCAGAAUAAGCACCGGCUAACUCUGUGCCAGCCGCCGCAGUAA